CACUCAGUGCGUUUCCCUGUGCAUCAUGGACCCCCUCUAUGGAAAUGUACAUGGGAAUAAACCUGAUGAGCGCCACAGAGGUCCAGCCUCUCAGACGACCGUAUCCACAAAGGCCCUGAUUCCACUACUGAUAGUUGGACUGGCUCUGCUUUUCAGUCUGGCAGCUCUUGGAACCAUGACAUAUCUAUAUACAAACAAAAGAAGUGAUGAAC